UACGUAGGGAGCGAGCGUUGUCCGGAAUUACUGGGUGUAAAGGGAGCGUAGGCGGGGAUGCAAGUUGGGUGUCAAAACUACCGGCUCAACUGGUAGUCGCACUCAAAACUGCAGCUCCUGAGUGAAGUAGAGGCAGGCGGAAUUCCUAGUGUAGCGGUGAAAUGCGUAGAUAUUAGGAGGAACACCAGUGGCGAAGGCGGCCUGCUGGGCUUUUACUGACGCUGAGGCUCGAAAGUGUGGGGAGCAAACAGG
rnacentral:rRNA from 1 species